rnacentral:rRNA from 1 species
GACGAACGCUGGCGGCGUGCUUAACACAUGCAAGUCGAACGAUGAAGCCGGAGCUUGCUCCGGUGGAUUAGUGGCGAACGGGUGAGUAACACGUGAGCAAUCUGCCCUUGACUCUGGGAUAACUGCGGGGAACUGUAGCUAAUACCGGAUACGACACCUUGGGGCAUCCCAGGGUGUGGAAAGAACUUCGGUCAAGGAUGAGCUCGCGGCCUAUCAGCUAGUUGGUGAGGUAAUGGCUCACCAAGGCGACGACGGGUAGCCGGCCUGAGAGGGUGACCGGCCACACUGGAACUGAGACACGGUCCAGACUCCUACGGGAGGCAGCAGUGGGGAAUAUUGCACAAUGGGCGAAAGCCUGAUGCAGCAACGCCGCGUGAGGGAUGAAGGCCUUCGGGUUGUAAACCUCUUUUAGCAGGGAAGAAGCGAAAGUGACGGUACCUGCAGAAAAAGCACCGGCUAACUACGUGCCAGCAGCCGCAGUAA